GUGGCGGACGGGUGAGUAACACGUGGGAACGUGCCUUUAGGUUCGGAAUAACUCAGGAAAACUUGUGCUAAUACCGAAUGUGCCCUUCGGGGGAAAGAUUUAUCGCCUUUAGAGCGGCCCGCGUCUGAUUAGCUAGUUGGUGGGGUAAUGGCCCACCAAGGCGACGAUCAGUAGCUGGUCUGAGAGGAUGACCAGCCACAUUGGGACUGAGACACGGCCCAAACUCCUACGGGAGGCAGCAGUGGGGAAUCUUGCGCAAUGGGCGAAAGCCUGACGCAGCCAUGCCGCGUGGAUGAUGAAGGUCUUAGGAUUGUAAAAUCCUUUCACCGGUGAAGAUAAUGACUGUAGCCGGAGAAGAAGCCCCGGCUAACUUCGUGCCAGCAGCCGCGGUAAUACGAAGGGGGCUAGCGUUGCUCGGAAUUACUGGGCGUAAAGGGAGCGUAGGCGGACAUUUAAGUCAGGGGUGAAAUCCCGAGGCUCAACCUCGGAACUGCCUUUGAUACUGGGUGUCUUGAGUGUGAGAGAGGUGAGUGGAACUCCGAGUGUAGAGGUGAAAUUCGUAGAUAUUCGGAAGAACACCAGUGGCGAAGGCGAC
rnacentral:rRNA from 1 species